CAUCCUGGGCUCCGUUGCCUUCUGUGGUUGCUGGUUGUUCUCUGUCCCCUGUACUCCCUAUCUUCCUUGGGGUUCAGUUUUGCUUUCUCCAACUGCGCUGCUUCACUCCUUGGAUGUUGCCGCUAUCCUCAAGGGUGACCGAUAGCGGCUGAAGCAAGCGCCAGAGAUGUUGUCCCGAGGUGAUGUGCUCAGGGACUGCAGGAAACCCAUCUGUCUGUCUAGAGACCUGUCUGUCUUUAAGAUUAAGGAAACUUUCCCCAGAAGCGUUCCCAGAACCUGCUUCUGGGUCUCAUCGGCCAAAGUUCAGCCACACGCUCAUUCCUGUAACUCCCCGUCGGGGUAAUGUAGGUUCUUUGCCUAGCAGCACAGCGCAGAUGGUGAGCAAAUCUGACUGCUUCCAUCUUCAGAAUGCAUCCACAGCCCUCGAGGGUCACCCUCGCCACCUGGUCAGGCCUGCAUCCCGUCUCAGCCGGAUUGGAUUCCGACGCCAGUGGCUCGGAACCAUCCCCGCCUCGCUCAGCUUCCCCUCAUCCUCAGUAGCCUUGUAGAGAUCUUGCCUAACCACACUCCAGACUGUGCCGUGCUCAGCUCAGAUAGAGACCCUCAUCUCCUUCAGGAAAAAAAAAAAAAAAAAAAAAAAGCCAGCACCACAUGGCUGUCUGUGAAACCCUACCUACCCACCCGCCAUGGCUCCUCUGACCUCCCCAUCCUACUCCUUGGUCUGUGGUCCAGUUUGCCCCUUGAACCUUCUUGUUUCUCAGAUGUUCCAGGUGAGAGACCGUGAUCAACACCUGUACCAGCUGUCCCCUCUGCCUGGACAAGUCACCCAGAUGUCUACACGUGGGGCUCCUUUGUCCUGUCAUAUGUCCUUGGGCAGGGACUUAUCUGACUCUCCUGUCUAGCAACCUCUCGUGUUCCAUCUCUGGUUCACCCCGUAGUGCCUACCGCCAUCUAUCUUCAGACAGUGUCCCUCUCUCCUGUCUUCUGGUUCGCUGCUAUGUGCAUUGUGGAAAUACUGGAGAGCAAUCGCCACUGGCUAUACGUGUGAGUUGAGUGUAGAUGUGAACUUGGGACAUUUGCUGAGCCUGCUGCACCCUGUUUGUGCUGUUGCAGAAGGCUCCAACAUAGAACUAAUUUCUUUCUUUCUUCCCCCGCUCCCCAUAUUUUAGGCAAGAUCUUACCCUAUAGGUUUGGUUGGCCUAGAACUCACUAUGUAGAUAACCUGGCCUUGAACUCACAGAGAUUCUCAUGCCUUUGAUUCCCGAGUGCUAGGAUUAGAGGUGUGUGCUACCAUGCCUGGCUUCCAGUGUGAACUACUGUGUUUCCGUUGUGAAGCACACUACACAACGUCACUUAGCCUCAGGAGACACGAGGCAGUGCAUACAGUAGAAGGCACAAAGCAUCACUUUAUUAUUAACUCUCUUGUGCUUAUUUAUUCUGGAGACAGGGUUUCUCUGUGUAGCCCUGGCUGUCCUGGAACUCACUCUGUAGACCAGGCUGGCCUCAAACUCAAAGUUCUGCACAUGCCUCUGCCUCCCAAGUGCUGGGAUUAAAGACAUGCGCCACCGGGCUCUGGCUUUUGUUUUUUGGAUUUUUUUUUUUUUUUUUGCUUUUUAAUAUAUGAAACGAGGGAAAUAAAAGUAACCGUUCCACGAGUUUCUGUUAGAAUUAAGUGAACUAAUUCAUGCAAAUAAUUGUGAAGCAUCUGGCAUGUAUUAAUCAUUAAAUAAUUGGAAGCUGGUUUAAUCUCCCUUUGUAGUAGAGGGAUCUAAAGCUCGGAGAAUUUAGGAUUCUAACCACAGGUUACAUAGCGAGAGGCAGGGUGAAGGUUGAACUCAGGACUCAUGAUUUACACAGCUGGUUCUGCUAAGUCAAACUCAUACACUGACCUAAAUAAGGUUGUAGGACCUCUUCCCUCAGGCAAGAGAGAGCAGUGCGGGCCUCUUGCUGUCUGUUUUGUCUGCAUCCUUCCCACAUUCCAGUCGACUCAUCUGAUGAUCUCGGACCAUCAGACGCACUGCCUCCUGUUUCCGUGUCUGGAGUGGAGUGUAUGAAUAAUCAUACCGCUCGUCACGACGUAGGAUCAAGGUGACAGACAGAGCUGAGGUGUAGUGUGGAACAGUUCCUGUAAUUCCGGGGCUCACAAGGCUGAUUGAGAGGGGGAUUGAGAGUUUAAGACCAGUUUAUGCUACACAGAGAGACCUUCUCUCUCAAGCAAUAACAUAAUCCGGGCGUGGUGGAGCACGCCUUUAAUCCCAGCAUUUUCAGGAGGCAGAGGCAGGUGGAUCUCUGUGACUGUGAGGCCAGUCUGGUUUAGAUAAUGAAUUCCAGGCCAGGCAGGGGAACAAAAUGAACAUUUAAGAACACAAUCUCAGAUGCCCACUAAAUGUCUACCCUCUUCACUUCCUUUACCAAUACAGUUCAUCAUCCCAUCCAUUGUCCCCAGUGUCCGGGCACCCUGUGGCUUCCGAUCCUGCUGUCGUCUCUGGUUCCCUGACAGGCUCUGCAGCUAUCCCCAUGACGCCUAGCCUUGCUGCUAGGCAGCCUUGACUUGAAUGUGGCCCUCGUCCUACUCUGUAAUGGGACCCUAGAGGAAGGCUGGCUUUAGGUCCGGGGGGUUGGGAGGCUACAUGUCUGCUGGUCUCAACAGGAGCUGUGAGCAUAGUGCGGAACGGGGCUCAAAGCAAGGGCUCAGCUACCACUCUGAACUUGGUUAGUGCCCUGCUGCCAGGUUACCAUCCCUGUCCCAAAUCACCACAUGUGUCCUGAAUUCCAGAAGGCAAGCCUCAUCUGCAGGGUACUGGAGGGCUAACAGAAGGCAGAGCGGGCUAGGACUCUAUGGCUCUAAGCUUGCAAUUGCUCUCUGUAAUCCUUAACCAGUGGGAAUGAAGAUUACCCCCAU
ensembl:lincRNA